GACAGAGGUGCCGAGCGUUAAUCGGAAUUACUGGGCGUAAAGCGUGCGCAGGCGGUUCGUUGUGUCGGUGGUGAAAGCCCCGGGCUUAACCUGGGAAUGGCCAUGGAAACUGGCGAACUGGAGUGUGGCAGAGGGGGGUGGAAUUCCGCGUGUAGCAGUGAAAUGCGUAGAGAUGCGGAGGAACACCGAUGGCGAAGGCAGCCCCCUGGGCUAGCACUGACGCUCAGGCACGAAAGCGUGGGGAGCAAACAGG
rnacentral:rRNA from 1 species